GAUGAACGCUGGCGGCGUGCCUAAUACAUGCAAGUCGAGCGAACAGACGAGGAGCUUGCUCCUUCGACGUUAGCGGCGGACGGGUGAGUAACACGUAGGUAACCUACCUAUAAGACUGGGAUAACUUCGGGAAACCGGAGCUAAUACCGGAUAAUAUUUCGAACCGCAUGGUUCGAUAGUGAAAGAUGGCUUUGCUAUCACUUAUAGAUGGACCUGCGGCGUAUUAGCUAGUUGGUAAGGUAACGGCUUACCAAGGCAACGAUACGUAGCCGACCUGAGAGGGUGAUCAGCCACACUGGAACUGAGACACGGUCCAGACUCCUACGGGAGGCAGCAGUAGGGAAUAUUCCGCAAUGGGCGAAAGCCUGACGGAGCAACGCCGCGUGAGUGAUGAAGGUCUUCGGAUCGUAAAACUCUGUUAUCAGGGAAGAACAAACGUGUAAGUAACUGUGCACGUCUUGACGGUACCUAAUCAGAAAGCCACGGCUAACUACGUG
rnacentral:rRNA from 1 species